UUCCUUUGACCAUUCUCAACACAAAUCGCCCAAUUCAAAACUUCAAAUCACAUGAAUAAAUGAAUGGAUGAAUGAAUGAAGAAACAAAGAGCAACAAAGCAAGAGUUUGUGAGUAUGUUGGAAUGCUUUCCAAUUUAUUUAUUUAUUUAUUUACUUUUUAAUUUUUUGUUGCCAAGUUUCAUGUUGCUUCCUUCUUCAUGGAGGCACCAAUUGAGCAAGCAAGGAAGCGAGGGAGUGAGGAAAAGAAUCAAUGAAUCAAUGUAAGUGAAUGAUUCAUGUGGCAAGGCACAAGGACAAUGAUAUAGAGCACACAAGCAAGCAUAGCCCCACCCAUGUUUGCCUCUUGCCUCCACUUGUGCUUCAUGAAAUCCAUAUCUCUAUGUUUUCAUACAUUCUUUCUUUAUCUAUAUCUAGAUAUAUAUAUAUAUAUAUAUAUAUAUAUAUAUAUAUUGAAUUGUUAUAUAGAAAUAGAGAGAGAAACAUAAAAAACAAUGGAUAUUGUGGAAAGGAAGAUGGCAGAUUUGAUGGAUGUUAGAGAAGUAGAAUACAACUCUAAUAGAAUUAUGGAUUAACAAAAUAUAUUAAACAAUACCAAAAGAGGAACUUUCUUAUUUUAUCUUGAGUUUAGAUGGUACAUGAAGAAGACAAAAUAUGCUAUUGAAUGAAGGCAAUGGAAUAAGAAGUUGUAUUGGAAGAUUGUUUGUCUUAAAAUACUAAAAGUAUGUUAAAACAUAUAUGUAUCAAUUCUUCUUGACAAUGAGAGAAGUAAAAGUAUGUCUUUCAAGAAGACACAAAGUUCUCUAGUCCAUCUUUAAUAUGUCUAUCAAUUUUACAAGAUUCUUGUAUAUUCAAUUGUCUGGGUGUUAUUAGAGAAUCUUGUAUUUAUUUCAAUUUUAUUGAAAUAUAAGUGUCCUCAAAAAA
rnacentral:lncRNA from 1 species